rnacentral:rRNA from 1 species
UACGAAGGCCCCAAGCGUUAUCCGGAUUUAUUGGGCGUAAAGAGUUCAUAGGCGGUUUGAAAAGUGACCCGUCAAAUCUCAUGGCUCAACCAUGAGGCUGCGGGUCAUACUAUCAGACUUGAGAUCGGAAGAGGCACAUGGAACUACCGGUGUAGUGGUAAAAUGCGUUAAUAUCGGUAGGAACACCAAAGGCGAAGGCAAUGUGCUGGUACGAUUCUGACGCUAUAGAACGAAAGCGUGGGGAGCGAAUGGG